AUUGAACGCUGGCGGCAUGCCUUACACAUGCAAGUCGAACGGUAACAGGUCUUCGGAUGCUGACGAGUGGCGAACGGGUGAGUAAUACAUCGGAACGUGCCUAGUAGUGGGGGAUAACUACUCGAAAGAGUGGCUAAUACCGCAUGAGAUCUACGGAUGAAAGCAGGGGAUCGCAAGACCUUGUGCUACUAGAGCGGCCGAUGGCAGAUUAGGUAGUUGGUGGGAUAAAAGCUUACCAAGGCGACGAUCUGUAGCUGGUCUGAGAGGACGACCAGCCACACUGGGAGUGAGACACGGCCCAGACUCCUACGGGAGGCAGCAGUGGGGAAUUUUGGACAAUGGGGGCAACCCUGAUCCAGCAAUGCCGCGUGCAGGAAGAAGGCCUUCGGGUUGUAAACUGCUUUUGUACGGAACGAAACGGUCUGGGUUAAUACCCUGGGCUAAUGACGGUACCGUAAGAAUAAGCACCGGCUAACUACGUGCCAGCCGCCGCUGUAAAAC
rnacentral:rRNA from 1 species